UACGGAGGAUCCAAGCGUUAUCCGGAUUCAUUGGGUUAAAGGGUGCGUAGGCGGAAUGAUAAGUCAGUGGUGAAAUCCUUCAGCUUAACUGGAGAACUGCCAUUGAUACUGUCAAUCUUGAGUACAUUUGAUGUGGGCGGAAUGUGUCAUGUAGCGGUGAAAUGCUUAGAUAUGACACAGAACACCGAUUGCGAAGGCAGCUCACAAAACUGUAACUGACGCUGAGGCACGAAAGCGUGGGGAGCAAACAGG
rnacentral:rRNA from 1 species